rnacentral:rRNA from 1 species
GACAGAGGUUGCAAACGUUGUUCGGAAUCACUGGGCAUAAAGCGCACGUAGGCGGUCUGUUAAGUCAGGUGUGAAAGCCCCCGGCUCAACCGGGGGAACAGCAUCUGAUACUGGCAGACUCGAGGAUGGUAGGGGUGAGUGGAACUCCAGGUGGAGCGGUGAAAUGCGUAGAUAUCUGGAGGAACACCGGUGGCGAAAGCGGCUCACUGGACCAUAACUGACGCUGAGGUGCGAAAGCUAGGGUAGCAA